rnacentral:rRNA from 1 species
UACAGAGGGUGCAAACGUUGCUCGGAUUUACUGGGCGUAAAGCGCGUGUAGGCGGGUUCAUAAGUCGAACGUGAAAGCCCUGGGCUCAACCCAGGAACUGCGUUCGAAACUGCGAACCUUGAGUAGUGGAGAGGAAGGUAGAAUCCCCGGUGUAGAGGUGAAAUUCGUAGAUAUCGGGAGGAAUACCAGUGGCGAAGGCGGCUUUCUGGACACUUACUGACGCUGAGACGCGAAAGCGUGGGGAGCAAAC